rnacentral:misc_RNA from 1 species
GUUGAGUUGAGUUGAGUUGUAUCAUCAUUAUCGUCAUCUGGCUUGUAAAAAACUUAGAAGUUUAGUUUUUGUUGGUUCUCAUGUCUUGUGUAUGCUCGCCAUCAAAUCAAGUCACACACUUUGUACUUUAUAUUUUUAUAAGAGAAUGAUAUUCCUAUUUCCUAAUGGCAUGGUGUUCUUUAUUUGUAGUAUGUUAUUACGAAAUAUUUAACUUGUUUUGCUGAUCUUAAUGCUUUGGUGAGCUAAAUGGUGUCUAUCAAUAAUAUUGUAUGUUCUGCUUUAAUCAUCCUUUUUUGGCAAUGUCAUUCAAUUGGUAUUAUUUUCCUUUUGAGCGGUAUAUCUGGGUUCUGGCUGUUACUUCUUUCAGACUUUUGAAAAGAUGUGUUAUUACUAUUAUUAUUAUUAUUU